AGGCGUAGUUUAGUGGUAAAACAUCAGCUUCCCAAGCUGAGGUUGCGAGUUCGAUUCUCGUCGCCUG
rnacentral:tRNA from 1 species